rnacentral:rRNA from 1 species
GGGACACCAGUUGGAAACGACUGCUAAUUCCGCAUAAGCCCACAGCUCGGCAUCGAGCAGAGGGAAAAGGAGCAAUCCGCUUUGAGAUGGCCUCGCGUCCGAUUAGCUAGUUGGUGAGGUAAUGGCCCACCAAGGCGACGAUCGGUAGCCGGACUGAGAGGUUGAACGGCCACAUUGGGACUGAGACACGGCCCAGACUCCUACGGGAGGCAGCAGUGGGGAAUAUUGCACAAUGGGGGAAACCCUGAUGCAGCGACGCCGCGUGGAGGAAGAAGGUCUUCGGAUUGUAAACUCCUGUUGUUGAGGAAGAUAAUGACGGUACUCAACAAGGAAGUGACGGCUAACUACGUGCCAGCAGCCGCGGUAAAACGUAGGUCACAAGCGUUGUCCGGAAUUACUGGGUGUAAAGGGAGCGCAGGCGGGAAGACAAGUUGGAAGUGAAAUCUAUGGGCUCAACCCAUAAACUGCUUUCAAAACUGUUUUUCUUGAGUAGUGCAGAGGUAGGCGGAAUUCCCGGUGUAGCGGUGGAAUGCGUAGAUAUCGGGAGGAACACCAGUGGCGAAGGCGGCCUACUGGGCACCAACUGACGCUGAGGCUCGAAAGUGUGGGUAGCAAACAGGAUUAGAUACCCUGGUAGUCCACACCGUAA